rnacentral:sRNA from 1 species
GCUGGGUGUAGUGGCGCACGCCUGUAAUCCCAGCUACACGGGAGGCUGAGGCAGGAGAAUCACUUGAACCCAGGAGGUGGAGGUUGCAGUGAGCUGAGAUCGUGCCACUGCACUCCAACCUGAGUGAUAGAGUGAGACUCCAUCUCAAAACAAACAAACAAAAAAUAUAUAGUAUAGACACAAAAGCAGUUUAGGUUUCAACUAUUUUUUUUUUCUGAGACAGAGUUUCACUAUUGUUGCCCAGGCUGGAGUGCAGUGGCGCAAUCUCGGCUCACUGCAGCCUCCGCCUGCUGGGUUCAAGCAAUUCUCCUGCCUCAG